AUUUGUAUUCACACACUCCAGUGGCUCAGAAAAUGAACUCUUGUCCUGAGCUGGUGAUUGUACUCUUCUUAAUGUUUGGAGAAAGCAAUGGAGACUCGGUGACUCAGACAGAAGGCCAAGUGACACUGUCUGAAGGGACUUCUCUGACCGUGAACUGUUCCUAUGAAACCAAACAGUACCCAACCCUGUUCUGGUACGUGCAGUAUCCUGGAGAAGGUCCACAGCUCCUCUUUAAAGUCUCCAAGGCCAACGAAAAGGGAAGCGGCAGAGGGUUUGAAGCUAUAUAUGAUAAAGAAACCACCUCCUUCCACUUGCAGAAAGCCUCCGUGCAGGAGUCAGACUCGGCUGUGUACUACUGUGCUCUGGGUGACACAGUGGCAGAAACCGCAGGGGGAGCUGUGCACAAACUCUGAAACGCAGGGGCUGGCUGCUGAGCAUCUGAGAUCACUCAUUUAGGGACUAUGAGCAGGUCUGCUAUUGUUGAUACCACACAGAGGCAGUAUUUAAAUUAAUAAAA